rnacentral:tRNA from 1 species
GGUCGCGUAGCUCAGUUGGAUAGAGCAAUUGCCUUCUAAGCAAUAGGUCGGAGGUUCGAGUCCUCCCGCGAUCACCA